GUAUGAAGUCUUGUCCAUUAUCUGAAGCUUAUGUAUGUAUAUUUUGGCCCGUUUUACAGGUUUUAGUACUUUUCCCUGUGCUCUUCUGAGUAGGCCUGGUAAUGGUCUAGGAUCCAAACCAUUACCAACCCAAGCCACAGCGCCAGACUUUAUGGCACCAAACUAAUCCAGUCCAAAAAUCAAGCUUUGGGAUCCAAACCAAUCCAAACCACAUCCCUUAUCAAACCAAACCAAACCACGAAAUGGUUUCAAACCAACUUCCAAACCCGUUUCAAACCCACAAGAGAACCAAAGAUCAGCUGUGCUGCAUACUUCGGCGACCUCAAAGGUGGAGGCAGUGAAGAGAACCUGCGCCAUGAAGGAGACGACGGGGUGGAGUCCGACGUGCGCACAGCGGUCCUCGUCGAUGCAGAAGCACGCCGACUUGGGGGGCUCGCGGACGCUGGACCAGGGCCUCGUGGCCGACCUCCACCUCCUCCCGGAGAAGCUCCCGGAGCCCACCAGGUCGCCGCCCUCCGCGCCUGAGGCAGAACCGGCGGCGUGGCGCGCGAAGAAGUCGCAGAUCCGUGAAGGACAGCCGUCGGAACAUGGCCACCGCCGCACGCUAUCUGCUACGGCUGCGGCGUCGCAAACCAGCUGGAGUGGCGGCAGCAUCUGUACCUAGCGCUAGCUGACUGGGAAAAGGGCUUCUCCCUCUACAAGCUCAGCCUGGACGACCUCCUCUUAGCCGAGCUCGAUGCCGGAGACGACGAGCAGCGCCGGCUCCCAGAUCCGAUCCUCCGUAUGGGCUUCCGCACUGUGGGCUCGAACCCGAAUUUCCAUGCCCUGGGCAGCGAAUUGAGCGGCAGCGGCAGCGGAGGCGGCGGCGGCGGCGGCGGCGGCGAAGCCCUGACCAAACCGAGCCGGUGGAGCUGUGCGUCGAGCAGUCCUUCCCGCGCGCGGCGCAUCCACUUCGGCGCCGUGGCCGAUCCGUGAAGGACAGCUGCUUCUCUGGCCUUUACCCACGGGUUAAGCCCAGGUGGUAUCCACGGGGUGAGCCCAUAGGAAACCAAACUGAUUGAAUCCAAACCAAAUCGUACCGCACCGUUUUUCCUUUAAAAUCAAACCAAACCGAUCCAUUAGCAAGGUCAACCCAUUUCCAUCUAGCCAAAGACGAUCCAAUUAAGGACCCAAACCAUUAAAACCAUUUAGAUCCAAUCCGUUACCAGGCCUACUUCUGAGUGGACCCACGGCAUUUUAUUAUACUAUUAGUAAUUUCCUUGCUGAGUUACAUUGAGAUGUUACCACAAGUUUCCUUUGAUUUUGUAGAGACACAACUAAUUUAAUCUAUUAUGUUAUCUUGGC
rnacentral:lncRNA from 1 species